rnacentral:sRNA from 2 species
GCAUGAAUACAACUUUGACAUUGCAUGCCAUCUGUUAUGUCUUAUUUCUUUACAUAUGGCAACCUCACUAAUGUUAAUAUCGUGGUCAAGGACAGCUCCGUCACUGACACCACUGACUGGGAGAUAUUUCCUUACUAUCGAGUAUGAUGGGAGUAUGUUGUACUCUACCUCAGUCCCUAGUAGUGAGGAGGACAGGGAGUGGAAGGCUUUAUUGCGGAAGUAUGUCUGAUCACAGUGUUGUGCAUGAAUUCUGACGGCAUUAUUACUAUCUCAGCAGAGAUCCAGAUGGUGAAAAAGUGAUGAAUGAAGUUCAUCAAGAAAAUAAGGAGCGAGACUCUUUAGUGAGGUGUUUGGUCUUUCUCUCUUAGAGAUUGUUGGCGAUUUUUUAUCAGCAUCUCAUGCACCUCCUUGCUACAUUAUCAUGUUUUACAUGUAACUUUCUCUAUCAAGAAAUCUCAUAUCUUAUGUGGGGAAUGAGCCGGUGAUGGUCAAUUUUUAUCACGUCUUUUGGAAGUGGUGGCGAAGUUUUCAAGGUGGCUGCGAUCUGGGAAAUGCUAAAGCAACAGUGAUCUGUUUAUAUACCAGAAUAAAGCCAGAGACAAAGAGCAAGUUGAUAUGGUUCAAUAUCAUGUGA